rnacentral:rRNA from 1 species
CCUACGGGGGCCUGCAGUGGGGAAGAUUGCACAAUGGGCGCAAGCCUGAUGCAGCCAUGCCGCGUGUGUGAAGAAGGCCUUCGGGUUGUAAAGCACUUUCAGCGGGGAGGAAGGCGGUGAGGUUAAUAACCUCAUCGAUUGACGUUACCCGCAGAAGAAGCACCGGCUAACUCCGUGCCAGCAGCCGCGGUAAUACGGAGGGUGCAAGCGUUAAUCGGAAUUACUGGGCGUAAAGCGCACGCAGGCGGUCUGUCAAGUCGGAUGUGAAAUCCCCGGGCUCAACCUGGGAACUGCAUUCGAAACUGGCAGGCUAGAGUCUUGUAGAGGGGGGUAGAAUUCCAGGUGUAGCGGUGAAAUGCGUAGAGAUCUGGAGGAAUACCGGUGGCGAAGGCGGCCCCCUGGACAAAGACUGACGCUCAGGUGCGAAAGCGUGGGGAGCAAACAGGAUUAGAUACCCGAGUAGUC